UGGGAUCCAUUCCAAUUGGCUCU
rnacentral:miRNA from 1 species